GAGGUAUCUUCACGAAAUUAGGCACGAGUUAUUGCUUAAGCAACAAAUUAUUCUCCACAGAAAUUGGUUAGAUCAGAUCACUAUAUCAUAUAGCUGCCAUACAAAUUGAACGUUCGGAAUCAAGUUUUUGUAAGGGGCCAUUGUUUUUGUGAAGGGUAUUAUAGCAACCGAAGUUAACGUUUUUUCUUGUUUUAAUGUAAUUUCGAGUUUCCCAAACUAACAAAACUCUCAUGUCUUAAUCUUAUUGAAUGAUUGCGAAUGAGAAAACGUACAUAUUUGUCAUUAGUGCCAAUAGAAAAAUCACAAAAAGGGAAAAUAAAAUACAAGUGAAAAAUGUCAUACGGAAAAGUCAUUUGCGUUUUUAAGAUGCAGAGCAUAACAAUCAACGCAGAUUUAUUGAAUGCAUACAAACACUAAAAAUGUGAGGGACUUCUACAUACACUCCAGUCAAGAUUUCUUAACGAUAGCUUGUCGUUGUGAAAAUUUAGUGAAAAUUGUAAUGCUAGUUUGUAUAUUAUUAUAUACCGUUGUUAAGCAAAAAUGAACUCAUUAAUACCGGAAAUUAAUUCUUUGCUGGGCCACAAAUGGGAACCCAUUCCCCCAAACAAAUUAAAUUCAGCCCAAAGUUGAAUUCCAGCGACAUAUGAUGUAUGUACGUGAAGAAUACGUCUAUGAUCUGAUGCCCCGCGAAAUGACCUAUAUAAUGAUGCUUAUUAAAUUCUUAAGCGAAUUUGUAUAUGUACAUAUAUACUGUUUGGUAUAGCUUUAACAGUUUAUAUUUUGUUUCCUAUUAUAUAAAGCGAGGAAAAGCGUAAUAAUCAGUUUAGGUUAACUUUACAUUUGUAACUAACUGUAAAAGUAUGUAAAAUAAAAUAUAUGUUAAAAAUAAAUAAUUUCAAAUUUAAAAA